rnacentral:rRNA from 1 species
UACGUAGGGUGCAAGCGUUGUCCGGAAUCAUUGGGCGUAAAGAGCGUGUAGGCGCCAGAAAAGUCCGCUGUGAAAACUCGAGGCUCAACUUCGAGCUGUCGGUGGAAACUUUCUGGCUAGAGUCCGGAAGAGGAGAAUGGAAUUCCUGGUGUAGCGGUGAAAUGCGCAGAUAUCAGGAGGAACACCGGUGGCGAAGGCGGGUCUCUGGCCGUAACUGACGCUGAGGAGCGAAGCAUGGGAGCGAACAGG